rnacentral:tRNA from 1 species
AAUAAACCUUAAGAAUAUGUAUGCUGUACACUCUUUUCCCU